rnacentral:rRNA from 1 species
GAUCUUGAUUCAGGACGAACGCUGGCGGCGUGCCUAACACAUGCAAGUCGAGCGAGGAGAUUCCUUCGGGAUGAUCCUAGCGGCGGACGGGUGAGUAACACGUGGGCAACCUGCCUCAUAGAGAGGAAUAGCCUUCCGAAAGGGAGAUUAAUACCUCAUAACAUUGCAGUUUCGCAUGGAACAGCAAUUAAAGGAGUAAUCCGCUAUGAGAUGGGCCCGCGGCGCAUUAGCUAGUUGGUGAGGUAACGGCUCACCAAGGCGACGAUGCGUAGCCGACCUGAGAGGGUGAUCGGCCACAUUGGGACUGAGACACGGCCCAGACUCCUACGGGAGGCAGCAGUGGGGAAUAUUGCACAAUGGGGGAAACCCUGAUGCCAGCAACGCCGCGUGAGUGAUGACGGCCUUCGGGUUGUAAAGCUCUGUCUUCAGGGACGAUAAUGACGGUACCUGAGGAGGAAGCCACGGCUAACUACGUGCCAGCCGCCGC